CGGCAGUGUAUGAGGGGUUGAAGUAUGGUUGCUAGUAUUGGCCAAGACUCAGCUAUUGUUAGAGGGCAUACUCCUAAAUUAGGUUUUCAAUCUUGUCUCCCUUUUAAGUUAGGUUGCAGGUCCUCCACAAGGACUCAAAUAUAGAAAUACAGGAUCCUUCUCAGGCCAUAUUUAGUUUGCUUUAACAGGGCAUUAUGUGAAUACAUACUGUAUUCCAUUAAGAGAUCCUUGCUCUGAAGAAAUUUUAAAAGUGAAAAAAACCUUUCACAUCUGGAGAGCGCAUCUUUGGAAUGCAAUGUGAGAGAACAUUCCCCAGGAGAUGGAAACAUAUUUAUGAUCUCCAAGUUAUAGUUAAGGAAACCAAAGCCCACGAGGGAAAACAACUUGCCCAAGAUCAAAGCAAAAUGGAGGCAGAGCUGGAACCAUGGUCUUGAGACUACUGAGUCCCAGUUGCAGAUGGUGAUCACACAAUCCAGAAAGGAACAGUAGCUCUUUGAGCUCAUCUCAUCCUCAGAGGGCAUCCAAGGGGAGUGAAGAAGGAAAUCUGAACAAUGAGGCAUCUAUCCAAAAAAGGUGGAACCAGAGAAGACAUCAUUUAAAUUUGAAAAGAUUGAGAUAAACUAACUGAUAUUCUUUCAGAUCCUGCAUACUGAAACUACUGAUGCCAGCUGGUCUGUAGGAUUCUAUGAGAAGUUGACUCACCAAUGAAUGAAGUUUCCACAUCCUGAUGAUCUCAUCCCCUUGCCACAAUGAAUCAACAGCCCCAAUUUUCCAGCCCCUUGCCCUCCAAAAUCUCCUUAAAAACCCCAGUCCAGAACUCCCCGGAGGAUAUGGAUUUGAGGAUUCCUCUCGUCUCUCUACUUGGCUGCCCUGCAAUCAUUAAACUCUUUCUCUGCUGCAAACCAUGCUGUCUCAGUGUAUUGGUCUAUUA
rnacentral:lncRNA from 10 species